rnacentral:misc_RNA from 1 species
CCGAGUUUACAACUCCCAAACCCCUGUGAACAUACCACUUGUUGCCUCGGCGGAUCAGCCCGCUCCCGGUAAAACGGGACGGCCCGCCAGAGGACCCCUAAACUCUGUUUCUAUAUGUUUCUUCUGAGUAAACAAGCAAAUAAAUUA